rnacentral:lncRNA from 10 species
GCCCGACGGUGGCGCUCAUUGGCCCGGCCCGCUUCGGCGGCCACGCCCCCAGCGGGGAGCCGGUCCACGUGGGGCGGGACAGCCCCCUCCCUGCGGCCUCGCCCUGGAGUCUCGGCACCGUCUGGCCCCGCCGGCUGAUUACAGCCAGAGAUCGAGGGGGACCUCGCUGUCCCCCUAGAGGCCGUCAUGCGGGGUUACAGAGGCUGCGACCAAAGUCAUUCCUAGCUCCUCUCUCGGGGCUCCGGAAAGCCGUCCGCGCCUCCAGCCGCACUUUCAGCGCACGCAGGACCUGCCGCGCCCGGUGGCCACACCCGUCCCUCUGCCGGGUGACGCUGCGGGAGAUCUUGCGCCCUGGGGCUCCGGAUCCAGUUCUGGCACGUUGUUGCACCUGUGACUUGUCCUUGGCCUGGCACUGUCCCUCGCCUGGGGGAAGCGGGGGGGUGGGGGGGGGAUGCUCACGUGGUCGCUUUGCUCCCGCAGUCAUGCACUUGGGUGAAAACAGACUGAAGAGUCACGGGAACCAGCUUGUCUCCCCAGUUAUGGCGCAGAGCUGCAAGGAUGGCUGUGGGUCAUUAAUUUCUCCGUGGCUGACCUGUGUUUGUAACGCCGCAGCUGUUGCGAGGGGGAAGGACACUGCUUCGGAUUCAAAUUCUGACUCCUUGCUGCAGUGUGUCACCUUGAGCCAGUCCCAGAUCUCUGCGUUCUCACAAUUGUAAAAUGUUAACAGAGGCUGCCUACCUUGUGGCUGGAAUUAAAUGAAUUAACGUGUGUGAAUGUGACUAGAAUUCAGUACAUGUUCAGGAAAAGCUGAUUUCCGCUUUGCUGUUACCGUGAAUAUUACUGUUUUAGGGUGUAGAAAAGGGUGGAAGGGGAUGUUAUUGCAUCCUGGAAGCUUAUCCUUUUGAGUCUGUCCACAGGCGUACUUUUAUAGGUCUGUGAUAGUAGGUAGCUCUUCAAGUUGGCAAACACCUGCUGGACAACCCCUGAGAGAUUCAUCUGAGUGAGAGAGCACUCUCCAGCCCCAUCGGAGUGGGUUUGCAGGGAAAUCAUAAGGAAGAAAUCCUUAUCUUUCCAACACUGAGAUGCUUCUGCCGAAGAGUAGAAUGGGAGUGAGGGGACACGCAAAACGGGCUGCUGCCGGAGGAAGAGGAACAGUGUUGUGGCUCAUGCCAUAUGAAUGGGCUCACUGGCCUGGCCCAGACCCUGACUGCCCACAGGAUCUUUGACAGAGAAACGGAGGCACAGAGAAGGAAGCGGCAGUUAAAGCUGCGAAGAACCUAACAAAUUUCAAGAUUGUAAGUGCCUUUUCCCAGGAUGCCAGCAAGUACUGAGCCUGUAUUUUGAGCUGCAUCAAACCCUGUUGGAAUAAAAAAGGACAUUUCUAGGAGAUCAGUCUUCGAGAUUGGCCCCAGUUUCCCCAGAGUAGGAAGAGGCAGGAAGCCAGAGCACAUGUUCUCUCCAGAAAUAAAGUUGUUGCAGUGGCCUAACCGUGUCUUAGAGUUACUGAAAACUCUGUUCUCUUGAGAUUUCUCAAGAAAGGAAACCUAUCUUGCAAGACAAAACCCACCUGUAGUCAAUUCCUACAGGAAAUAAAUUCAAAAUAAUGUUUCAGGCAAGGGC